UGCUAAUGGCAAAACGACACUCGUUGAACACCCAGUAUGUGGUCUCCUUCCUCUCCCGCAGGUUGACUUUCUGGCAUGCAUUGGACGAGCACCACUACCUUCUUCAGUUAUCCUCAUCAUGAAAUGCUUGUUGACCAAUGACCUUGCCUUAAAAUACAGCCUCAGGGGUUUGCAGAAGAAAAAGGCUUUCCAGGAAAUCUCCCUACGUGGAUGUGUUGUUGUGGAGGCAGCGAAGCGGUGGUGCAGCUCUGCUACCGAAGGCGAAAUUGGACGACGCAUAGGAAAGUUAGCUGACCGGAAUGGCGCAAGGGGACGGACGAUUGAUAGUCAGAUAUCAAGUACACACAUCUUGGAGGAGCACUGUCAGGCAUGCGUGCUGUUUUGUAAUAUUUUGUACCUGCAAUACGUUGACCUUUAUGUCUGUGAUGCUUUAAAACAUAGUAUUAAACAGUGA